GACGAACGCUGGCGGCGUGCUUAACACAUGCGAGUCGAACGGUGAAGUGCCUUCCUUUUUGGUCGGUGUUGAUGAGUGGCGAACUGGUGAGUAACACGAUAGUAACCUUCUCACUUCUUCUGGAUAACCGCAUGAAAGUGUGGCUAAUACGGGAUAUUUUGGGUCUGUCGCAUCAUUGGUCUGGGAAGGUUUUUGUUUCGGUUGUGGAUGGGCUCGCGGCCUAUCAGCUAGUUGGUGGGGUGAUGGCCUACCAAGGCGGUGAUGGGUAGCCGGCCUGAGAGAGUGGACGGUCACGCUGGGACUGAGACACGGCCCAGACUCCUGCGGGAGGCAGCAGUGAGGAAUAUUGCACGAUGGGAGCAAGCCGGAUGAAGCGAGGCCGAGUGAGGGAUGGAGGCCUUCGGGUUGUGAACCUCUUUCGGGAGUGAAGCAGGCCUGAGUCGUUUGUGGGUGGGUGGAGGGAAGCUGGAUAAGAAGCGCCGCCAAACUACUG
rnacentral:rRNA from 1 species